rnacentral:tRNA from 1 species
GGGGCUUUAGCUCAGUGGUAGAGUGCUUGCCUAGCUUGCAAGAGGCACUUGGUUCAAUCCUCAGCACCA